CCUACGGGAGGCAGCAGUGAGGAAUAUUGGUCAAUGGGCGAGAGCCUGAACCAGCCACGUCGCGUGAAGGAUGAAGGAUCUAUGGUUUGUAAACUUCUUUUGUAUGGGAAUAAAGUGCGGAACGUGUUCCUUUUUGUAUGUACCAUAUGAAUAAGCCUCGGCUAACUCCGUGCCAGCAGCCGCGGUAAUACGGAGGAUGCGAGCGUUAUCCGGAUUUAUUGGGUUUAAAGGGUGCGUAGGUGGUUAAUUAAGUCAGCGGUGAAAGUUUGUGGCUCAACCAUAAAAUUGCCGUGGAAACUGGUUGACUUGAGUAUAUGUGAGGUAGGCGGAAUGCGUGGUGUAGCGGUGAAAUGCAUAGAUAUCACGCAGAACUCCGAUGGCGAAGGCAGCUUACUAAACUAUAACUGACACUGAAGCACGAAAGCGUGGGGAGCAAACAGGAUUAGAUACCCGGGUAGUC
rnacentral:rRNA from 1 species